GGCGGUAAUUCUAAUCUUCCUGCAUGUGAUGUAGGAAGGGGAGACAAAUCUAAAUGGCUUGAUGAAUCACAUGUCUUCUGAUCUAGACAGCCCACAAAAAACUGACUGGGUUGUCUUCUUUCACAUUUUGUGGGUUGGUAGGUACUCCAGAUACUCAAGCUACCAGUGGCUCGCUAAAGGUUAAAAGA